rnacentral:rRNA from 1 species
AACGAACGCUGGCGGCAUGCCUAACACAUGCAAGUCGAACGAGACCUUCGGGUCUAGUGGCGCACGGGUGCGUAACGCGUGGGAACCUGCCCUUAGGGUCGGAAUAACUCCACGAAAGGGGUGCUAAUAGGGGAUAAUGUCUUCGGACCAAAGAUUUAUCGCCUUUGGAUGGGCCCGCGUUGGAUUAGCUAGUUGGUAGGGUAAAAGCCUACCAAGGCGACGAUCCAUAGCUGGUCUGUGAGGAUGAUCAGCCACACUGAGACUGAGACACGGCCCAGACUCCUACGGGAGGCAGCAGUGGGGAAUAUUGGACAAUGGGCGGAAGCCUGAUCCAGCAAUGCCGCGUGAGUGAUGAAGGCAUUAGGGUUGUAAAGCUCUUUUAACCGGGAUGAUAAUGACAGUACCGGGAGAAUAAGCUCCGGCUAACUCCGUG